rnacentral:misc_RNA from 1 species
UUUCCGUAGGUGAACCUGCGGAAGGAUCAUUAAAGAAUUUGCCCCGUCCUCUCGAGGAUGGGUCCUCUUCUAAACCGUGUAUACAUACCUUUGUUGCUUUGGCGGGCCGCCGUCUCGGCGUUGGCCUCGGCUGACUGUGCCCGCCAGAGAACCCCAACUCUUCUGCUUAGUAUUGUCUGAGUACUAUAUAAUAGUUAAAACUUUCAACAACGGAUCUCUUGGUUCUG